CUGACAUUCCCCUCUCGCACCGCAACAGAGAUCAGGUCGAGUGACGCCUGCUGGGGGGUGACGACACGGAAAGCUGCCAGCACAAAGAGAUCCCACUUAACCCCACAACCCCUUGGACGAUGCCAACACCGGUCCUCGGGAGACACCCAGGGCAGCCCCAGCCCCUUCCCCACUGGUCCCCACUGAUCCCGGGGGCUGGAGGCCACCUGCAGUUCACAGAAUUUGUGUGCGUCUCUGACACCGGCAAUUCCCAGGGGACAGAUCAGGAAGACAGUUUUCCACCUCUGGACCCUGCGUGGAACCGUCACCAGCAUUUGGAUGAAUCCUCUGAUCCGUGACUCCACCCACCUGGCAUGAAGGCGUGGAGCCCCCUGCAGAUCCCCCCCCAACCCUCAUGGAGAAAGAC